AUUGAACGCUGGCGGCAGGCCUAACACAUGCAAGUCGAACGAGUGGCGGACGGGUGAGUAAUGUAUGGGAAACUGCCUGAUGGAGGGGGAUAACUACUGGAAACGGUAGAUAAUACCGCAUACCAUCAGAUGUGCCCAGAUUGGAGUAGCUUGUUGGUGGGGUAACGGCUCACCAAGGCGAGGAUCCCUAGCUGGUCUGAGAGGAUGACCAGCCACACUGGAAUUGAGACACUGUCCAGAAUCCUACGGUAGGCAGCAGUGGGGAAUAUUGCCCAAUGGGCGCAAUCCUGAGUCAGCCAGGCCGCGUGUAUGAAGAAGGCCUUCGGGUUGUAAAGUACUUUCAGCGGGGAGGCGUUACCCGCAGAAGAAGCACCGGCUAACUCCGUGCCAGCAGCCGCGGUAAUAC
rnacentral:rRNA from 1 species